AAACUGGCCUGGGAUUAUCAACUUUGUCCGUGGUUACCAGUUCCUGUUUGGUGGUGUUUAUAUGGGUGCCUCUUAUAAUAACUGCUCUGAUCAUAUGGAAGAGGAAGAGACAUGCUGCUGGACCAGACUUCAGAACAUCACAGAGUGAUUACUCCCCUACUCCAACACAAGAUACAUGAAAAUUGGCAUACAUAUGGUCUCAAAUGACAAAAUACUUAACACUGGGAUGUUAAUACUUAACAUCUUCAUAUAUUUCCUUCUAUAUGAAGAAAAUAAUAUAAAGUCCUC